rnacentral:tRNA from 1 species
GCCGUGGUGGCGGAACCUGGUAUACGCGUAUGACUCAGAAUCAUAUCCCGCAAGGGUUGGGGGUUCGAGUCCCCCCCACGGCA